UCCCUGGUGGCUCAGUGGUAAAGAAUCUGCCUGCAAUGCAGGAGACCCGGGUUUGAUCCCUGGGCUGGGAA
rnacentral:tRNA from 1 species